rnacentral:rRNA from 1 species
GACGAACGCUGGCGGCGUGCUUAACACAUGCAAGUCGAGCGGUAAGGCCCCUUCGGGGGUACACGAGCGGCGAACGGGUGAGUAACACGUGGGCAAUCUGCCCAUCACAUCGGGAUAACUCCGGGAAACCGAAGCUAAUACCGAAUACGACCACCUCCGGCAUCGGAUGGUGGUGGAAAGUUCCGGCGGUGAUGGAUGAGCUCGCGGCCUAUCAGCUUGUUGGUGGGGUAACGGCCCACCAAGGCUUCGACGGGUAGCCGGCCUGAGAGGGUGACCGGCCACACUGGGACUGAGACACGGCCCAGACUCCUACGGGAGGCAGCAGUGGGGAAUAUUGGACAAUGGGCGAAAGCCUGAUCCAGCAACGCCGCGUGAGGGAUGACGGCCUUCGGGUUGUAAACCUCUUUCAGCAGGGACGAAGCGCAAGUGACGGUACCUGCAGAAGAAGCACCGGCCAACUACGUG